UGAACUGUGGAUAGGAGCGAAAGACCAAUCAAACUCAGUGAUAGCUGGUUCUCUUCGAAAUAUCUUGAGGGAUAGCCUUACGCCAUUGACUUGCGGGGGUAGAGCACUGAUUGUCCGCGGGACCUUACCGGGUUACCAACGACUGUCAAACUUCGAAUACCGUUAAGUUUUACCGUAGGAGUCAGACUGUGGGGGAUAAGCUUCAUAGUCGAGAGGGAAACAACCCAGAUCGCCGUCUAAGGUCCCCAAUUUAAGCUAAGUGGUUUGAAGGAUGUGAAGUUGCGUAAACAACCAGGAUGUUGGCUUAGAGGCAGCCAUCAUUUAAAGAUCGCGUAAUAGCGCACUGGUCGAGUGAUUUUGCGCCGAAGAUGAUCGGGACUAAGCUUAAAACCGAAGACGCGGAUGUGCAGCAAUGCACGUGGUAGAAGAGCGUUGUAUGAGGAGCGAAGCGAAAAUGAAAAUGAUCGUGGACUUCAUACAAGUGACCAUGCAAGCAUGAGUAGCGAAAAACCGGAUGGAAAUUCCGGUCACCGUAAGACCAAGGAUUCCCGGGGAAGGUUCGUCCGCCCGGGGUUAGCCGGAUCCUAAGGCCAGGCCGAAAGGCGUAGUCGAUGGACAACGGGUUAAUAUUCCCGUGCCGCCUUAACGGAGUGACGGAGUGACGCAGUAUGCUAAGCGAGCUGGCUAUACGCCAGUCUAAUGUCGUAGGACGUCAGGGGUUAAAUGACCUGACACCAAGUCUGAAAACGGAUGGGACUCGAAGCCUUCGGGUAACGGGGAUUCGCUGAUGCUUCGCUGACGAGAAAAGCUCCUAAACGUUGAAGUUUUGGCGUCCGUACCGCAAACCGACACAGGUGGUCGAGGCGAGUAGCCUCAGGUGCGCGAGUGAAACCACUUCAAGGAACUCGGCAAACCAGCCCCGUAACUUAGGGAGAAGGGGUGCCGAACGGGUGUUAAAGCCCGAACGGUUUCAACAAAGAGGCCGCGGCGACUGUUUAACAAAAACAUAGCUCUCUGCAAACUCGCAAGAGGAAGUAUAGGGAGUGACACGUGACCAAUGCCGAAAGGUCAAUCGGAUCCGUCAGCAGCAAUGCGAAGCGGUGAUGUGAAGCCCCGGUGAAUGUCGGCCGUAACUAUAACGGUCCUAAGGUAGCGAAAUUCCUUGUCGGGUAAGUUCCGACCUGCACGAAUCGUGUAACGAUCGCGGCACUGUCUCGAAGUGGAGCUCGGCGAAGUUGUAAUUCCGGUGAAAAUGCCGGAUACCUGCAGUAGGACGGAAAGACCCUGUGAACCUUUACUGUAAUCUGAUAUUGGCAUUCGGGUGUUAAUGUGUAGGAUAGGUGGGAGGCCGCGAAGCAGGAGCGCCAGCUCCUGUGGAGCCGUCGGUGAAAUACCACCCUUUAUAACUUGAAUGUCUAACCUCAGCCCGUGAAUCCGGGCGGGAAACAGUGUCAGAGGGUCAGUUUGACUGGGGCGGUUUCCUCCAAAAUUGUAACGGAGGAGCACGAAGGUACACUCAGAGCGGUUGGCAAUCGUUCGAAGAGCGUAAGGGUAUAAGUGUGCUUAACUGCGAGACAGACACGUCGAGCAGAUGCGAAAGCAGGUCCUAGUGAUCCAGCGAUAGAACGUGGAAUCGUCGUUGCUCAACGGACAAAAGGUACUCCGGGGAUAACAGGCUGAUAGCGUCCAAGCGUCCAUAGCGACGACGCUGUUUGGCACCUCGAUGUCGGCUCAUCUCAUC
rnacentral:rRNA from 1 species